CGCAUUCUCCUCCUUCUCUUCUUGGUUCCGGGAUGGACGCAACGUGCGUAGAGCCGUGCUUUAGGCUGGAGCGCGCUGGAAGGGCACGGCUAGGCACAAGCGCCAGCCUCAGCAAACGAGUUUCCCUUUGCUGUGGUUUCCCUGUUCAAAUACAGAAAGGAGACUUCUCCAGAACUCAGAAUGCUUAUAAAAAGCAAGGUAUAGAUGGACCAGCUGCAAGUGGGGCAUGUGCAACACCUCCAGUGCCAUCCUCUCGAUCCUGCAAGACCUGAUGGCAGAGGUGACUCCAGGAUGACCUGGUGAGGGGACACCUGGAGUAUGUCGGUUCCCUGAACUGAAACUUUGAGGAGGACCACCAGGAGCACUGCACUGACUGGGAGCUGUGCUGCACCAUCUGGGAGCAGCUGUCCUGAGAGCAUGUGAACGGCUUACAUCAACACCAUUGAGCACAUUAUCACCACCAUGGAGUGGUCCAGCAGCCAUCUUUUCCCACCCCACCUACUCCUUCCCAACUCUUCCCUGCACCCACCCUGCCCCCGUCCCCUAGCUUCUCCUCCUGGUCACCUUUGGGCCACCGAGGACCCUGUCCACGAGACAGCGGGACCACCCAAGGCAGGUGCCAGUCCCAGCCCCGUCCC